UACGGGGGGGGCAAGCGUUGUUCGGAAUUACUGGGCGUAAAGGGCUCGUAGGUGGCCAACUAAGUCGGACGUGAAAUCCCCAGGCUCAACUUGGGAACUGCGUCCGAUACUGGAUGGCUUGAAUUCGGGAGAGGGAUGCAGAAUUCCAGGUGUAGCGGUGAAAUGCGUAGAUAUCUGGAGGAACACCAGAAGCGAAGGCGGCCAACUGGCCCGAUACUGACGCUGAGGCGCGAAAGCUAGGGGAGCAAACGGG
rnacentral:rRNA from 1 species